rnacentral:rRNA from 1 species
UACGUAGGUGGCAAGCGUUAUCCGGAAUUACUGGGCGUAAAGCGCACGCAGGUGGUGAUUUAAGAUUGACGUGAAAGCGCCUGGCUUAACUGGGCGAGGUCGUUGAUGACUGGGUCACUUGAGGCGAGGAGAGGGGUGUAGAAUUCCCGGUGUAGUGGUGGAAUGCGUAGAGAUCGGGAGGAAUACCAGAGGCGAAAGCGGCACCCUGGCCUUGGCCUGACGCUCAGGUGCGAAAGCGUGGGGAGCAAACGGGAUUAGAAACCCCAGUAGUCC